rnacentral:rRNA from 1 species
GAUUAGUGGCGACGGGUGAGUAACACGUGGGCAAUCUGCCCUGCACUCUGGGACAAGCCCUGGAAACGGGGUCUAAUACCGGAUACUGAUCCGUCUGGGCAUCCAGACGGUUCGAAAGCUCCGGCGGUGCAGGAUGAGCCCGCGGCCUAUCAGCUUGUUGGUGAGGUAGUGGCUCACCAAGGCGACGACGGGUAGCCGGCCUGAGAGGGCGACCGGCCACACUGGGACUGAGACACGGCCCAGACUCCUACGGGAGGCAGCAGUGGGGAAUAUUGCACAAUGGGCGAAAGCCUGAUGCAGCGACGCCGCGUGAGGGAUGACGGCCUUCGGGUUGUAAACCUCUUUCAGCAGGGAAGAAGCGAAAGUGACGGUACCUGCAGAAGAAGCGCCGGCUAACUACGUGCCAGCAGCCGCGGUAAUACGUAGGGCGCAAGCGUUGUCCGGAAUUAUUGGGCGUAAAGAGCUCGUAGGCGGCUUGUCACGUCGGUUGUGAAAGCCCGGGGCUUAACCCCGGGUCUGCAGUCGAUACGGGCAGGCUAGAGUUCGGUAGGGGAGAUCGGAAUUCCUGGUGUAGCGGUGAAAUGCGCAGAUAUCAGGAGGAACACCGGUGGCGAAGGCGGAUCUCUGGGCCGAUACUGACGCUGAGGAGCGAAAGCGUGGGGAGCGAACAGGAUUAGAUACCCUGGUAGUCCACGCCGUAAACGGUGGGCACUAGGUGUGGGCAACAUUCCACGUUGUCCGUGCCGCAGCUAACGCAUUAAGUGCCCCGCCUGGGGAGUACGGCCGCAGGCUAAACUCAAGGAAUUGACGGG